UUUUUUUUUUUUUUUUUUGCUAAAAAAUGUACACUAACCUGAACAUGCAGAUAUAAGGAUGAAUUUUUUUGGAGGUUGAACAUUAAAUGAAAGACUUUAUAUUCAAUUCACUAUAUCAUUCAUGUGUCAUUCAUGUAUGAAAAAGUUUAAAAAUCUAUGCUUAUAAUAAUAAAAACCAAAACAAGAUCAGAAAAGAAAAACCCAAACAAUAAAAAACAACAAAAGAAGUUGACCCACAAGUCCUUCAGUGAAUUCUGAGGUUUAUAACUUGGACUUGGUGGAAGUUUAUAAAAUAUCAAUUAGGAGAGGAAAUUUUGACAUAAAAUAAACACUUUGACAUUUCUUAAUAAGAUUAGUGAGGAAUUAAUAAAUAUUUUGUUAUAGAUGAGUUAGAAAUUGGCUAUAAUUUAGCAACAGGGAGGGAUUAGGUACUUUUACGUGAUACUUGAGAAAUAAAUAAAGCAAAUGUUAAAUUUGUUUGUUAUUUUUGCUUAUUGUUGGCCUUUCAUGCAUUCCCAUGUUAUGUACUAGGCAUACUAUAAUUUAAGGCUAAAACUUUCAUGGACCAAAUAAUAUAUGUGUAAAUUUUGCUAUUCUUCUGAAUAUUCUUACAUCCCAUCAAAGUUGUAUGCUAUAGAUCUUUUUGGAAGUAUUUUUUUCUGUUAAUGUAAUAGUUAAAAUUUUGCAUUUUCCUACCUCUCUGCCUACAGUGACUUAAAAAUCUGAAAAAUUUCUAAGUUACAAAGUGACCUAUGAUGUGCAUGAACUUGAUAUAGAGUGCUCUGAAAUGUAAUUGUCAAUCAGUGCAGGUAGAACUGAAAAUGUAUGAGUCUGAAAAAAUGAUUUGUGUUCAUAAUAUGUAAUUGCAUUAUUUUAGUAAUGUUCCUUCUGCCUUUGGCAUUUGAUUAACUCAGCAAAUCAAAGGGCUAACAUAUGAAAAGAGUAUUCUAAUUACAAAGGGCUCCUCAGCUUUUGAGAUGUUGCUAACAUAAUGUGCUUUUUAAAAAAGUAUGGUGUCCCCAUUAUGAAGAGUUAAAAGAACUAAUUAGGUUAUUUCACACUAUAUCUCAUUCCAACUUUUCUAAAGAGCAGAACUGAUUGCAAAAAGUGGUAUAUGCAGUAAAAGGUAAAGAUUCUUUUAUCUUAAAGAAUGAACAUAUUGUUUGAAGCUAAAACAUUACAGGUGACCUUAAAAGAGGUUGUGAUUGGUCCCUAUGUGAAAUCAACCUGAAGACUUUUAUGAAGUAUUUUGGCAAGUCUGUCUUCUUAUGUUCAUGGCACUGUGAACACAUAUUUCAGCAUUUUAUUUGCCCUCAAACACUGUUCAUAAAUCCUACAAAUGUAAGUUCACUAUUGACAGAUAUUUAAAAAAAUUUUUUUUCUAAUCUUGGAGAUAAAGUGGAAAUGACUUGUUCUGACAUGAAUAAUAUCUAGAUUUUGGCAGUUAAUUUCCAGUUCAAUUUCCCCUAUUGACUUGAAGCUUUCUCAUUUUCCAGUUUUGAGUUGUACAACAUUCCUUUCUACUUCUAAGACUUUCACAAUUUUGCAGAUAGUCUUUAACUUCUAAACUUUGUUCUACAAAUAUUUCUUAGUAAUUACAGUUUCAUAUUCACUAAUGUCAUAGACCUUCUACUGAGUGCCGUAUGUGUCCCAGACUGUGAGGGUACACAUAUAAAUACACUAUGUUUGCUGAUUUCAAUAAUUUCAUGGCUUGUUGCGUGAACUGGACAGACAAUAGUUAAUGUGACAAGUGCUUUGAUAGCAGUACACCCUGAAGAACUCAGAUGAGUUAACACUCAGACUGCAUGUAUAACCAGAAAUGCUUACUGGAGAAUACAACCCGAACUAAAUUUUUUUUUUUUUUUUUUGGUCUUUUCUAGGGCUGCACCUGUGGCAUAUGGAGGUUCCCAGGCUAGGGGUCUAAUCAGAGCUGUAGCCACUGGCCACAGCCACAGCCACGGCAAUGCCAGAUCUGAGCUGCGUCUCUGUGGUGUAGGUUGCAGACGCGGUUUGGAUCCCACGUUGCUGUGGUUCUGGUAUAGGCUGGUGGCAACAGCUCCAAAUAGAC
ensembl:lncRNA